rnacentral:lncRNA from 1 species
GAAUGAGCUCCAAGCAAUGAAUUUUCCUCUUAGAACUGCUUUCAUUGUGUCCCAUAGAUUCUAAUAUGUUGUGUCUGUGUUUUCAUUUACCUCAAUGAAUUUUUUAAUUUCCUCCUUGAUGUCUACUGUAACCCAUUGAUCAUUCAGUAACAUAUUGUUCAUUCUCCAAGUGAUGUAGGGUUUUUCCGUCUUUCUUUUAUCGUUGAUUUUCAGGUUCAUUCCAUUAUGAUCAGAUAAGAUGCAUGGUAUUAUCACUACUCCUUUAUAAUUGCUAAGAGUUGUCCUAUGGCAUAAUAUAUGGUCUAUUUUUGAGAAGGAUCCAUGUGCUGCUGUGAAAAAAGUAUAUCCGCUUGCUAAUGGUUGAUAUAUCCUAUAUAUGUCAGUUAAGUCUAGGUUAUUAAUUGUGUUAUUGAGUUCUAUAGUUUCUUUAUUCAACUUUUGUUUGGAAGAUCUGUCCAGUGGUGAGAGAGGUGUGUUGAAGUCACCCGUAAUUAUUGUGUCAUGGUCAAUUUGUCCCUUGAACUUGAGAAGAGUUUGUUUAUGAACAUAGCAGCACCAUUGUGUGGGGCAUAUAAAUUGAUAAUUGUUAUGUGUUGUUGGUGAAUGGUUCCCUUUAACAGAAUAUAGUGUCCUUCUUUAUCCCUUUUGAUUAAUUUAGGCUUGAAGUUAAUUUUAUUUGAUAUGAGUAUAGCCACCCCUGCUUGCUUCUGAGGUCCAUGUGUGUGGUAUGAUUUUUCCCAGCCUUUCACCUUCAGCUUUUGUGUGUCUUUUCCUAUCAGAUGAGUCUCCUGAAGGCAAUAUAUUUUUG